CCUAGGUGGCAUAGUGGGACAUGUCUGUAGUCCCAGCAAUCCGGGAGGUUGAGACAAGAGGAUCUCUUGAGUCCAAGAGUUCUGGACUAUAGUGCAUUGUGCCGAUUAGGUGUCUGCACUAAGUUUGGCAUCAAUAUGGUGACCUCCUGGGAGCGAAGGACCACCAGGUUUCCUAAGGAGGGGUGAACUGGCCCAGGUCAGAAAUGGAGCAGGUCAAAACUCUCAUGGUGAUCAGAUGUGGCUCCUGGCUUCUAACUGUUUUAUAUGUGUAUUUACAUGUGAGGUU
ensembl:misc_RNA Metazoa_SRP Metazoan signal recognition particle RNA